rnacentral:tRNA from 1 species
AUGAAUGGGCGGGCCUUGUU